UACGUAGGUGGCAAGCGUUAUCCGGAAUUAUUGGGCGUAAAGAACGCGCAGGUGGUUAAUUAAGUCUGAUGUGAAAGCCCACGGCUUAACCGUGGAGGGUCAUUGGAAACUGGUUGACUUGAGUGCAGAAGAGGGAAGUGGAAUUCCAUGUGUAGCGGUGAAAUGCGUAGAGAUAUGGAGGAACACCAGUGGCGAAGGCGGCUUCCUGGUCUGCAACUGACACUGAGGCGCGAAAGCGUGGGGAGCAAACAGG
rnacentral:rRNA from 1 species